AUAAACGAGACGAACAAGACCGAUGGCUUCAUUGGGCUCAACAAUGUACAUUGUGUCCGUGGACGUUAUCCGGACGCUAUGGUCAAAGCCUGGGACAGGUUUUACCGUCGGCAGGGAUCAAAGAAUGUCAGACCUGAUCACUUUGAUGAUGACCAGCAGUUUUUAAUCCUGGAGUUAGAGUUUGGAGGGACCGACCUAAAGAGCAUUGAUGGAAAGGUACUUGAGCACAGGUUUCCAUAUUUCUAGAGGUUUGUGUAUUCCAGGUAUUCUACAAAGCCUGAAGUCCACUGAAUACCUUUGGAGUGAAUUCAGGCCUCUUGACUUUAGU